CUACGGGUGGCUGCAGUGGGGAAUAUUGGACAAUGGGGGCAACCCUGAUCCAGCAAUGCCGCGUGUGUGAAGAAGGCCUGCGGGUUGUAAAGCACUUUCAAUAGGGAGGAAAAGCUUUGGGUUAAUACCCCGAAGUCUUGACGUUACCUUUAGAAGAAGCACCGGCUAACUCUGUGCCAGCAGCCGCGGUAAUACAGAGGGUGCGAGCGUUAAUCGGAAUUACUGGGCGUAAAGCGCGCGUAGGCGGUUUGAUAAGUCAGAUGUGAAAGCCCCGGGCUUAACCUGGGAACUGCAUUUGAUACUGUCAAACUAGAGUAUGGUAGAGGGUAGUAGAAUUCCUGGUGUAGCGGUGAAAUGCGUAGAUAUCAGGAGGAAUACCAGUGGCGAAGGCGGCUACCUGGACCAAUACUGACGCUGAGGUGCGAAAGCGUGGGGAGCAAACAGGAUUAGAUACCCUCGUAGUC
rnacentral:rRNA from 1 species